UACGUAGGGUGCAAGCGUUAAUCGGAAUUACUGGGCGUAAAGCGUGCGCAGGCGGUCUUGUAAGACAGGUGUGAAAUCCCCGGGCUUAACCUGGGAACUGCACUUGUGACUGCAAGGCUGGAGUACGGCAGAGGGGGAUGGAAUUCCGCGUGUAGCAGUGAAAUGCGUAGAUAUGCGGAGGAACACCGAUGGCGAAGGCAAUCCCCUGGGCCUGUACUGACGCUCAUGCACGAAAGCGUGGGGAGCAAACAGGAUUAGAAACCCUAGUAGU
rnacentral:rRNA from 1 species